UACGGGGGGGGCAAGCGUUGUUCGGAAUUACUGGGCGUAAAGGGCUCGUAGGCGGCCAACUAAGUCAGACGUGAAAUCCCUCGGCUUAACCGGGGAACUGCGUCUGAUACUGGAUGGCUUGAGUUUGGGAGAGGGAUGCGGAAUUCCGGGUGUAGCGGUGAAAUGCGUAGAUAUCUGGAGGAACACCGGUGGCGUAGGCGGCAUCCUGGACCAACACUGACGCUGAGUGAGCGAAAGCCAGGGGAGCAAACGGG
rnacentral:rRNA from 1 species